GUUGUCCAUGUCUCUACCCAGGCUGCUGUGUAGUCUACUAGUGAUGUCUCCCUACCUGCUGGUGACCAUCAUACUGCUGGUGAAAUACUGCAGGAGCAGGACUCAAGGGGAAACCAGGGUACCCAGGAAGACACACCAAGACCAAUUAGGUGAUCGUGUUGAAGAAGAGUGAGGCUGAGAUCACCUGAUCACCAUAACAACCAUCAGAAUGGAACUCAUUGGAUUCUAAUAUAGAACUGUGAGACACAAUGCUGUAUGUUUUUACAUUUUACCUCCAUUUGAUCAAAUGUGAUAUAUUAACUGCUAGAUGUAUUUUUCUUAUUUGAAUGUGUUUUAAUAUAUUGUGUGUUUUAUUAUUCAUUCAGCAGCUGUCCUUUAACAGCAGUCAUAUACUGGUCAUAUACUGUAUAGCAUUAUGGUUGAUACAUUGUAAAUGCCUUAACUUUUCAUGUCUAAACAGAUACAUUGAUAGGUGUUAUGGUUCAGACAUU